rnacentral:tRNA from 1 species
AUUGUGGUCUAGCGGUUAGAACGCUGGCCUUGUAAUCCUGGGGUCUCGGGUUCGAUUCCCGGCGGU